rnacentral:rRNA from 1 species
CACGUAGGGCGCAAGCGUUGUCCGGAAUUAUUGGGCGUAAAGAGCUCGUAGGCGGUCUGUUGCGUCCGCUGUGAAAACCCGGGGCUUAACCCCUGGCUUGCAGUGGAUACGGACAGACUAGAGGUAGGUAGGGGAGAAUGGAAUUCCCGGUGUAGCGGUGAAAUGCGCAGAUAUCGGGAGGAACACCGGUGGCGAAGGCGGCUUACUGGGUCUUAACUGACGCUGAGGCACGAAAGCCAGGGUAGCAAACGGG